rnacentral:rRNA from 1 species
UACGGGGGGAGCAAGCGUUGUUCGGAUUUACUGGGCGUAAAGGGCGCGUAGGCGGCCUCCGCAGGUCAGUUGUGAAAUCUCCGAGCUUAACUCGGAAAGGUCAACUGAUACUGCGGGGCUAGAGUGCGGAAGGGGCAACUGGAAUUCUUGGUGUAGCGGUGAAAUGCGUAGAUAUCAAGAGGAACACCUGCGGCGAAGGCGGGUUGCUGGGCCGACACUGACGCUGAGGCGCGAAAGCUAGGGGAGCGAACGGG